rnacentral:rRNA from 1 species
CAGUCGAGCGGGGAGAUGUAGCUUGCUACAUUUCCUAGCGGCGGACGGGUGAGUAAUGCUUUGGAGUCUGCCUAUUAGUGGGGGACAACAUUCCGAAAGGCAUGCUAAUACCGCAUACGCCCUACGGGGGAAAGCAGGGGAUCUUCGGACCUUGCGCUAAUAGAUGAGCCUAAGUCAGAUUAGCUAGUUGGUGGGGUAAAGGCCUACCAAGGCGACGAUCUGUAGCGGGUCUGAGAGGAUGAUCCGCCACACUGGGACUGAGACACGGCCCAGACUCCUACGGGAGGCAGCAGUGGGGAAUAUUGGACAAUGGGCGCAAGCCUGAUCCAGCCAUGCCGCGUGUGUGAAGAAGGCCUUUUGGUUGUAAAGCACUUUAAGCGAGGAGGAGGCUACUUGGAUUAAUACUCUAGGAUAGUGGACGUUACUCGCAGAAUAAGCACCGGCUAACUCUGUGCCAGCAGCCGCGGUAAUACAGAGGGUGCGAGCGUUAAUCGGAUUUACUGGGCGUAAAGCGUGCGUAGGCGGCUUCUUAAGUCGGAUGUGAAAUCCCUGAGCUUAACUUAGGAAUUGCAUUCGAUACUGGGAAGCUAGAGUAUGGGAGAGGAUGGUAGAAUUCCAGGUGUAGCGGUGAAAUGCGUAGAGAUCUGGAGGAAUACCGAUGGCGAAGGCAGCCAUCUGGCCUAAUACUGACGCUGAGGUACGAAAGCAUGGGGAGCAAACAGGAUUAGAUACCCUGGUAGUCCAUGCCGUAAACGAUGUCUACUAGCCGUUGGGGCCUUUGAGGCUUUAGUGGCGCAGCUAACGCGAUAAGUAGACCGCCUGGGGAGUACGGUCGCAAGACUAAAACUCNAAUGAAUUGACGGGGGCCCGCACAAGCG